UCUCUGCUAGUAUAUCGGUUAGUACACGCGCCUGUCAUCGCGCUUAAUACGACAGCUUCGCGCGAAAGCUGGGUUCGACUCCCAGGCAGAGAG